ACGGGAGGCAGCAGUGGGGAAUAUUGCACAAUGGGCGAAAGCCUGAUGCAGCGACGCCGCGUGAAUGAAGAAGUAUUUCGGUAUGUAAAGUUCUAUCAGCAGGGAAGAAAAUGACGGUACCUGACUAAGAAGCCCCGGCUAACUACGUGCCAGCAGCCGCGGUAAUACGUAGGGGGCAAGCGUUAUCCGGAUUUACUGGGUGUAAAGGGAGCGUAGACGGAAAAGCAAGUCUGAUGUGAAAACCCGGGGCUCAACCCCGGGACUGCAUUGGAAACUGUUUAUCUAGAGUGCCGGAGGGGUAAGUGGAAUUCCUAGUGUAGCGGUGAAAUGCGUAGAUAUUAGGAGGAACACCAGUGGCGAAGGCGGCUUACUGGACGGUAACUGACGUUGAGGCUCGAAAGCGUGGGGAGCAAACAGGAUUAGAUACCCUGGUA
rnacentral:rRNA from 1 species